CCCAAUUUUGGUCACAAGUUUCUUUGUAAAUGAAGUUAUUCUCAUUCUCAGACUUCUUGUUGAUUUCUCUGUGAAGUUCAAAAAUUGUGUGUGUGAGUAUUGUUGAGUAGAAGAGGAAGCCUGAGAUUGAAAGAAAAGAAUCAACUUCACAAAAGGUAAUGUCCAUUUACAUGUUCUGAAGUUCAAAUUGUAAGUUCUUAGGAAAUGCUAAAAUACUUAUUUUGAGUCAAAAAAUUUAUGAUUGAAGCAUGAUGUGAUGUAACAUUCCAGAAUUUUUAAAUGUAAUAUUAAAUAUUUAUUGAGUUAUAUAAAUAUUUAAUGGAUGGGACUAUCAGUAAAUGAAUAUUUGUUUAAUUGAUUUAAUAUUAUUUGGAGAAUUAUUUAUUAAAUAAAUAAUUGAUGAAUUAAGGAAAUGAUUAUUAUAUUGAUAUUUCAAUUAAAUGAUUAAUUAUUUGUAUUGUGUUAUGUGACUAAAGGAUUUAUUUAAUUAAUUGUUAUUUGAAUUAAUUUAACAUAAAUAUGAAAGCUUGAUUAAUAUAGUGCGACAAAUAACUAUAUUAUAAGGAGUUAUUAAAAUAAAUUAAAAUAGUUUUAAUUUAGUUUUAUCCAAACAAGGCUUAAUAUAUUAAUUCUUUAAAUUUUGAUUGUUUGAAUUGUGAUUCUGAGGACAGAAUCCUUUUAAGGAGGGAAUGAUGUAACAUUCCAGAAUUUUAAAUGUAAUUUUAAAUAUUUAUUGAGUUAUAUAAAUAUUUAAUGGAUGUGAUUAUCGGUAAAUGAAUAUUUGUUUAAUUGAUUUAAUAUUAUUUGGAGAAUUAUUUGUUAAAUAAAUAAUUGAUGAAUUUAAGGAAAUGAUUAUUAUAUUGAUAUUUCAAUUAAAUGAUUAAUUAUUUGUAUUGUGUUAUGUGACUAAAGGAUUUAUUUAAUUAAUUGUGAUUUGCAUUAAUUAAAAUAAAUAUGAAAGCUUGAUUAAAUAUAGUGUGACAAAUAACUAUAUUGUAAGGAGUUAUUAAAAUAAAUUAAAGUAGUUUUAAUUUAGUUUUAUCCAAACAAGGCUUAAUAUAUUAAUUCUUUAAAUUUAAAUGAUUUGCCAAACAAGCCUUAUGGCUUUUGAGAUUUCUAGAUAAAUAAAAUAAAUAAAAUCAAAUAAUAAAUAUAAUAUAUUUAUGUUAUAUAUGUUUAUCCUAAUAACUAAUGUUACUUAUUAUGUGUAUUAAGCCUAUGACAGUUUCUUUUGUUUACGCUUAAUAGUCAGUUAGUUUUUGCUAGCCUUGAGAGCUUCACAGAAAAUUGAGAGAAGGGUUGAGAGAGAAUUUGAGAGAAGCUUAGGAUUUCCACAACGAUUUCUGUGUUUAACAAUAAUUGUGUAUAAGAAAUUUGAAGGUAUGUUAACUCUAUAUUAUAUAUAUACAUAUAUAUGUUCUACGGCAACUAAUUGUAAAUUCUGUGAAUUGCAAAUUUAUUGAAUUGUUGCUUUACAAUGGAUUACUUGUGGUUAGAUAUGUUUAUGAUGAUAGAGUUUGUGUUUAAAUCAAAAUUUCAUGAUUAAUUUCGGAUAUUAGUAGACAUUUUUGACAGUAUAUGUAUUUUUCUAUAUGUUCAUGAAAAGUAUCAAUUUUAGUGGCCAAUUCGUACGAGAAAUUGUAAAUUGAAGUUUGUAUAUGGUAGUUCAUUGAGAUACGAACGUAACGUAACUUGAAUGAAGUAAACUGGACAAGAAUUGAAAUUUGAUUGGUAAUGAACAUGUUAUGAUAUGUAGCAUGUCUAAUAGGUAUUGUGGUUCUAAACCUAUAUAUAGGUGAACGUGAGUUUGAUAUUAUAGCUUACGCUCGAGGCAAGUCUUCUAACUCUAUACUUUCAUUGAGUUAGUUUGUUAUGUUUAUGCAAGUUUUCUAACUCUACACUUUCGUUGAGCUAGUUCGUUUAUUACAUUGUACAAGUUUUAACUCUACAUUUUCGUUGAGUUAGUUCUAUUAUUAUAAAUGCAUGCUUUUGAUUGAGCAAGUUUUUAUCUCAACUGUUAUUGAAUAAGUAAAUUGUUCUUAAAAUCCAUUUGAGCAAACUCAAACUCUAAUGUUAUUGGAAAUUCUCCAUUUGUUGAUUCAUUCUAACUUGUUUACAGUUAAGAAAGUUUCUUAAAGUUCAGGAAUUUCAUUUCUAGUAUUAUAAAACUUGAACCUAGCUUAUUUUACUGUUCAAGCAAAGGUUAACCGUUUUAUUCAUUCUAUUAAAUACUUAUGCUCUAUAGUUAUUUCAAGCAUGAGAUAGAUAUAUAGAAUCAGUUCAUUUAUGAUUCUCAAAUGUUCUAAGUUAUGUUGUUAUUAAAUAACUGUUGUAAUAUCAAACAUUGUGGAUUCAACUAGUUCCCUAGUUGAUGAUCUUUAAACUUCAAUUACCCUUGAAAGCUUAUCCAAACCAAACUUUCUUUGGUGCGGACUUGUACUCUAAAUACUGAGAUGAACAACCCUAUGUUUAGGGGUUUACGCUUAGCGUUGAAAUGGUUGUGCACAAUACAUUGUACGAAAGAUUGAUUCCCCUAAGUACGUGGAGUCCUUAUAGUCAUAUGACUGUUAAAGUUAAAGUUGAAAGAUUACUUAUAACUGUGGACAGGGUUCAUGGUCAUUUGACCCUCAGUAGUUUAUUUAAGAAUGUUAAUAGAACAAAUUAUUCAGUUCUAUUGAGCCUAUGAGUUGGCAAGUAUUGAAAUGUUAAUAGAACAAAUUAUUCAGUUCUAUUGAGCCUAUGAGUUGGCAAAUGUUGAAAUAUUAAUAGAACAUACCAUUCAAUUCUAUUGAGCCUAUGAGUUGGCAAGUAUUGAAAUGUUAAUAGAACAUAUUAUUCAGUUCUAUUGAGCCUAUUAUUUGGCAAAUGUUGUAAAGAUAAUUAUUCUUAUCUCAAGUGAGCUUUGUUUGCUCACUCUUACAUAUUUAUACAUUUAUUGCAGCUAUGAAUGAGAAGGUAGAUAAACCUACAACUAGCAAAAGAAAGGGAAAAAUGUACAAGUGAUGAAGACUUGUAAUUUUGUUUUAUCAUUGACGAUAGACUUUUAAUAAUGAUGUGAUGUAAUAAUUUUAUUUCCACAGUUGAAUGAUUGUAUUAAAGGUUAGAGAACCUGGGAGAUAAUGUUUUUAUUUAAGUAAUCCUAUAUGGGCAGGUUUUUAUUAUUCAAUUUAUUAUAAUUAGGUAGCUAGAUAUGAAUGUUUUGAUUACGUAAACACCAAAUCUUGAGGUAAUGAAGUACCGGGAUUUGGGGGUGUCACGUGUAAUCUGUCCAUUGAUGCUAGACAUUGUUAAUAUGAUUGAAUACGAAAUCAACGAAAGUUAAACGGAGAAAUUUGGUCAAGUAACGAAUCUGUAGUGAAGAGAAUCGCUAAAUAUGCUAAAUUAUGGAAAAAUGACAUGAAUCUUGAAUUUGAUUCUUGAAUUUGGUUGUGUAUGUGGUUGGAGUUGUUAGAAUUAUGUUAGGGGUGUUUAGUAGUAAGUGUAUAUCAAUUUGGUGACUUAAAGUUGAUAUUUGUAUGAGAAAAUGGAAUGUUGGUUCGUAGUAGGGGAACGGAAUUUCAAACUAUAGUAGCCAACUCUAGUUGGUGCCGCCCCGAUGGGCACCCCGCCCCGGCGGGGGUCCUGCAGUAUAAAAAGGCCUGCCCCGAUGGGGGUUGGGCAGUAAGUUAUAUUACUAUUUUCGUUGUUCGAUACAAGGAACCCUAAACUGGCCUAACCUAACUUAACUUAAGGAGCAUUCAUAAUUUGUAAACAAGUAUCAAUAUGUAUUGCAUGAUGUUUUAGUGGGCUUGGGGUUUGAGUUAUAAUCUUUUGAAAGAAAAGCUAAAAGAUAAAAACCAUGUUUGAAAAACCUUACGCCUUUUUGAAAUCUAACCUUUUGAGCAUGUAUUCGCAACUUAGUUAGUUUUAUAAAUAUGUAUGAAAUGUGAAAUCAAGGUACUUUGCAUGCUUAGUUCGUUUGUCAUGAGAUUUUAAGAUUUGAAAACCAAUUGAGUUGAAAACUUUACCACUUGUAUUGUGAACUUUUGAACAAUUAUGAUAGAUACUUUAUGCCUCUAGAGAUAAUCGACAUGUUCACACAUCUAGUUAGACACAUUAUAAACCACGCAAGCAUGAACUGAAAGAGUGUCUAAGUAUAGAGCUAUACUAGUUACGUACAAAUAGAUCUAAUACAUGCAAGCAUGACUAGAAGAAGGUUGUUUGGCAAUGUUAUGUGGUUUAAUUAAUGUUAUGGUUAGUAGUUGAUAUAAUGAGUUCUCUUAACUUGGUAAGAUGGGAAUUUAUGAGUAAAAUUAACAUUUAUUGAAAGUAAAUAAAAAGGACCAAACCUAGCUUAAAGGUUCUUUAACAUGAAUAUGUGAAGUAACUUAAACUAGAAUACGUGACAUAAGUGAUAUUUCACGUAUACAAAUAAAAGAUGAGUAUAUGGUACUAAAGAUUGCCAAAAUAUUCCUAAAGAUUUUCAAAAGUAAGAACAAUAUGAAUUAUACAUCUAUGAGUUUGACUAUGUAUAGCAUUCAUGAGUAUAGAUAUAUAUGAUAAAUGCAUAUGGAUAUGUAUGUCAAAGUGUGUGUGACUAAUGAAUACCUAUACAUGUUAGUUCCCGUAGGCACAAUAUAGAUCUAGAAGGGGGGGUUGAAUAGAUCCUUUUUAAUUUCAAAUACUUUUCUCGUUUAUUUUGUAUAGCCAAUGUUUUAGCAUAUGACAAACAUAAGAAUCUUUUCAGGCACAGCGGAAUAAGUAAAAGAUCCCCUUCAUUGAUAUAUUCAUAAUCAUACAUACAUUGUUCGUAGAGUUAGUUCAGUUGUAAGCAAUUAAAACAUACAUAGCAGUUAAUGUACAUAAUGUAAAUGAUAUAAAGUAAAAGACAUAGGGGGUUUUAAGUGGUUCAGAGACUCAAGCUCCUAAUCCACUCUUCUGCUUUCAACUAGCAGGAUUUCCACUAAGGAAGGGCAACACCCUGAAUCAAUAAGAUUCCUUCAAGGCCAGCACCCUUGGGACUUCAGUUCACUAAGAACUCUUCAAGGCCAGCAGCCUUGGAACUUCUCUAGUUCCCUUAGGAAAUCUUCAAGCCCAGCAGGUUUGGAACUUCAUUUAGUCCCUCCGGACAAGGACCCCUCAGGCCCUGGCUUCUUGUUGCUGAGUUAUUUGUUUGUUUGUUGGAGUUGGUGUUGAGCUGCUAAGACGUCUUUAUGCUCUGAACAUCUUUUGUACUUAGCAGUUUGGCGUGAUCGUCCUUGAAGUGAAGUUGAGUGUUGCAUGAUGCUCAGCUUCUUCAGUUACUCAACCAAUUCUGAUGAUCCCUUGAUGAACUACCUUGAAGAUCAUUCCUCUUGAUACUUGGUGGCUGCACAUGAUGGGUUUCUAUGAUGACUGUAAGCUCUUCUACUUGGUACUUAGAAACUUUCUCAUGCUUGCCACCACGAUGGCGUUGGUGAUCUUCUUUCUUGAUACUUGAUGUCUUCUCAUGAUGGACUUGUUAAGAUGACUGUGAGCUUUUCUCUAUGUUACUUAGAGUCUUCCCAUGAUGGACAUCAAGAUGACAGUGAUGCUCUUCUUUCUCUCGGCAGUUUAGAACACUCUUCUUGUAGUAGAAAUCUCACUUCUACAUUGUAGAACCAUCACUUCUACUUCUUUAUUUGUUUGUCUCCAAGUGUUCUUGGUGGAUCGUAGAGUGAGCCUUCAGACCUUCAUUGGUCACUCACUAUUUUCAUUGGUUAAAUCAGUCCACCAAUUCUCUAAACUCAGCAACUCCUACCACUUUGAUCUCUGAAGCUCUAGCUAAUUUAUACUCCUUCCCAAUCUUCCUGUUGGAAAGUAGCCGUUGAAAUCUCUUUGAAUUGUUUCACAGAUCUCGAGUUUCUUGGUGCAGACUGCAGAUGUGACAUGACAUGACUUUCUGACACUGCAGCUUACUAUUUCACCUACCUUGUCAGAGAUGUCACUUUUAAGCCUCGGGCAGGUCGAAGACUUUAUUUCACCCUUCUAAUUUCUUGAUCAGAGGUUGUCCUUUUGCAUCGAUGCUCUCAAUAAGCUCUUGUCUGAAUAUCAGUCUUCAGAUUGAACUGUUGUCAAUGCUUCAAUCUUCAGAUGUUCGAACUCUACGAUUCUGAUGCAUGUUUUCUUAGACCUGAUCAUAGUGUCUUGUUGACUGGUAGAGACAACACUACGAUCUUGAAGAGUGUUAAUUGGAUCUUCAAUGUAAACCACCUCUUCUUUCUCUUGUGCAGUGCUUCAAGACUUCUAUUUGCCUCAACAGCUCUUUGAUACUGAUGGCUUGACUUCUUUGUUCUGGCCCCUUCUGAAUAGCAAGACACUUCAGAUUUGUGGCGUGUCCAACUCGAUUUCUCCUUGUGAUCUCCCGUUCACUUAUCAUCAAUGGACUGACCCAAUGCUUAAUCACUUUAGCCUUGUUCUUCAGAGGUUGACUAGUUUCUCUGUGUGCACUUCAUCAGUUCUUUCUUUGUUUGGCAAACACUACGAUCCUGGUUACUUCCAAGAUCGUUGUCAUCUUACCACUUGACAGCUAUUGCACUUGCUGACUUUCCUUAGUCAGUUACUGAAGUCUUCUUCUGAUCAACUUGUGGAAGACUUCUUUUCGAAUGGCUUCACAACUUAAUCUGGAUGCUAAUUGGGUUGGUGCUUAGAUCUUAUAUUAGCUUGCAUGCCAUUCGUUGAGUGCUCUCUGGUUUCCUUUAGAUGGGAUGUAUCUUUGUAGUGCCAACCAGAGGCUUCAUUCCUUUGGAUUUUCUGGGAGUGCUCAUUCGUUGAGAAUCAUAUUUGCUCUACGAUUCUGCCUUGGCAAUGUGAGCACAUCUGUUGAUGUCUUAGUUCUGCACUCUACAAUUCAUCUUCGGCUGUGCAGACACUACGACUCCGAGAUCAGAUCUUGACACUCUAUGAUUUUUGUCGUUGAGCUUGUUGUCUUCAUCUGAUCUUGCUCGACUAUGAUCUCUGCCUCUGAUAUGAUCAGUAGACUCUACAACUCUGAGUGUAGUCUACGAUUCUUAACUUGAGCUUCAGCAGAUGUUCGGUCGGCUCGUAGGUAGGUUGUCUCUACGAUUCUGAACAUGACUUCCUCAGCAGACUACGGCCCUGAAGAAGUUCUCCUCGACACACUACGAUCCUUCUUUGUCUCUCCUGGCAUUCUACGAACUCCGAGAUCUACUAUCUUGCAGACUACGAUUCUACCUCGAUAGUUCUCGAGUUACCUUGAAUCUCCUGGCAGACUACGAUAUCUGAUGAAGUGCUCGACGAUCAGAUAAGCCUAUCUAUUACAUCAUAAGAUCAACCUAACAUGCUUGAUCUUUGUAGACACUCAAAAUUUUCUGUACUACUGUUACUAACAUUGCAGGAGGACAGAUUCGUCUUUUAAGAGAGAACCCUGAAAGACAAUCCAAAUCUAUACCAGAUACUACCGAAAGUUCAGCAUCAACCCCGGAUCGCAAUCUGGGAGUAAUCCCGAGACCUGCAGAUACAAUACCGAAACAUACAUCGGAGAAGGCCGAUUAAUCUCGGAGAUAACCCCGAGGUAUCCAGUCUCAGUCCCAACCAUGGGAAUAGCCACCAACCUUGGUGAUAACCCCAAGGAAUGCAAUUUCGGAGAUAACUCUGAAAAUGCUUGUUUUAAAUGCUAUCAGCUUCAAUCUCGGCACUCACAAUAAAAUACACUGUGCCAACCCAGCAAUAACAUCGGGAAGAUAGGCACACCUCAAAGAUGACAAUGAGGACCUUCAACAAAUGCAGCAAUCCAAUCUCAGCGAAGUCUGAGCAACGUCUGCUUAUCGGCCCAAUCCGGAAGUAACACCGGUGAGGGGCAACAUCGUCAUCUCGUCCAACACGAUGCCACGUCUCAUCUCUACGCAACAAUGUCCCACAAGGCUAACCAAUCCCGAGUGACUAUUGUGCGGGGUAACGGAUGAAAGUUGAAGCUUGAAGACCGGAGGGCAUCGUCCCAUCUUCAAAGACUUCGUACAAACUCUAAUCCCAUGCCAUCGUACAACUCUCGACAACGGCGGUCCGAAAUAGGUCCUGAAUACCUCAAAAUGGAUGCUCGGAUUUCACUUCUAAAAAUCCAAGUGGACAUUACAGUGCUUGAGUGCACGUACUUCGAGACGACCCAACCCGACCCGCCUCUGGUACACCUGCGGCACCUUUUGCCUAUAAAUAAGAGGCUUGGGGUGCUGAUUUCUGAGAGAAAAAAGACGGGGAAACACCUGUGAGCUCAUAUAUAGCCUCUUUUGUACCCACAAAAGCCCAGUGUUUACCCAUUCUAAAGAUAUAGAAGCCCUUUUUAUUAGUCAGCUGUAAGCCUUCUCACACACUUUAGAGUCUUUCUCUUCAUCUUUGCACACACCCUUCUACACNNNNNNNNNNNNNNNNNNNNNNNNNNNNNNNNNNNNNNNNNNNNNNNNNNNNNNNNNNNNNNNNNNNNNNNNNNNNNNNNNNNNNNNNNNNNNNNNNNNNAAUAACACCCCUUACCGUAAAAGAAACUGGAUAUAGGAAAAGAAAGGUAGCAGACUUCUCUUUUUCUUUCUCUCUAAAAUUUUCUCUCUCUAGAGUUCAGUGAAUUCGUAAGAAAAUAAUGACGGAAUGAGCUUCUAUUUAUAGAAAAGAAUGGAAUGCAUGGUAACUAACUCAUGAACGGUCCAGAUUGAUUUACUUUAAUUUGACGGUCCAUAUUUAAAGAAAAAUAUAAUAUAUAUUAUAUAUAUUAUUAACAUGCCCAUUCUGUACACUCACGAAAACGAAUUCCGUGAUUCCCCCCACUUGUAAUCAUCAUAUAUAUAUAUAUAAUAUAAAAUUUAUAUAAUAUAAACUUUAGCACAUGCAUUUAUAUAUAUAUAUAUAUAUAUAUAUAUAUAUAUAUAUUAUAUAUCAACUGUGUGUCGGACAUAGUUCGACCACAGUUCAUAUAUAUAAGUAUAUAUAUAUAUACAUAUAUAUUUAUUUAUUUUGUCCUACCUGGAGUUCCCUUCGUGGCAAUUGAUCGCUUUUACAGCUUUCUUUACAUUUCGUCCUGCCUGGAGUUUACCUCGUGGCAGUUGACCGUAUUUACAGCUUUUAACAGUUUUAUUUACAUUUUUUAUCCCCCAUGGAGGUGCUUCGUGGUUGGUGAUCAUGUCUGUAUAUAUAUAUAUAUAUAUAUAUAUAUAUAUAUAUAUAUAUAUNNNNNNNNNNNNNNNNNNNNNNNNNNNNNNNNNNNNNNNNNNNNNNNNNNNNNNNNNNNNNNNNNNNNNNNNNNNNNNNNNNNNNNNNNNNNNNNNNNNNNNNNNNNNNNNNNNNNNNNNNNNNNNNNNNNNNNNNNNNNNNNNNNNNNNNNNNNNNNNNNNNNNNNNNNNNNNNNNNNNNNNNNNNNNNNNNNNNNNNNNNNNNNNNNNNNNNNNNNNNNNNNNNNNNNNNNNNNNNNNNNNNNNNNNNNNNNNNNNNNNNNNNNNNNNNNNNNNNNNNNNNNNNNNNNNNNNNNNNNNNNNNNNNNNNNNNNNNNNNNNNNNNNNNNNNNNNNNNNNNNNNNNNNNNNNNNNNNNNNNNNNNNNNNNNNNNNNNNNNNNNNNNNNNNNNNNNNNNNNNNNNNNNNNNGUCCUGCCUGGAGUUUACUUCGUGGCAGUUGACCGCAUUUACAGCUUUAUUUACAUUUUGUCCCGCCUGGAGUUUCCUUCAUGGCGGUUGACAGUAUCUACAGCUUUAUUUACAUUUCUGAUCCGCCAAGGAGGUGCUUCGUGGUUGGUGAUCUUGUCUAUAUAUAUAUAUAUAUAUAUUUACCGCUUUUAUAUAUAUACCUGUUUAUUGCUUUUAUACAAAUUACAAUAUUCUGUGCGCCUAGGAAUCAUGUGAUCACAGAUUCAUCUCAUUGGAUCUAGAUUCGAUUCCCGUGAUGGACAUUUUCAGCUGUAAGCAGCUUGUAAAUUAUUCUACGAUGUCUGUAUUUCCUCAGAUGGUUUCCAUACCCACGAGGAAGUCGGCAAUAUUUUUGGAUGUAUUAUUUUUCAUACGGAUGCCUCGCAUCCGUCAAAUAAAAUCAAUUCAGCCGCUCACUUAAUAAAAAUGGAAGUGUAAAAGGUCUCAAUUCCUAUUGAGCAUCAAGGUUUGAAAAACCUCUUUUAUAAAACAUUAUUGCCAUAUCUAGCUAAAAACUGAAUUUUUACAUAAAUUCAAACCCUGUGUAUAUAGGUUCGAACGAGGCCUCGCACAACUUUCCUAUAAUAGGACAUUGACCCACACACACACACACACACACACACUCAGAUAAUAGUUUCUGAAAAGAGGCGGUCACCGUGGUAACACGGAUGUCGGGGGGUGCCUAACACCUUCCCCCUGCAUAACCAAGUCCCCGGACCCUAAACGAAUCUCGGUUUCACAGACCCGUAUAUCAGUGUCACAUCACUGGGUCAUUGUGCAAACCUUUUCUCGGUUAUGUUGGUACAACCAUUUAAAAAACCAACGGGUGACUCUUAACAGUCCCAUCGUCGACAUCAUACAUGUCGGACCUUUUUCACUUGUUUUUUCAAACAAAUCUCACCUAAAAUGAGAACACCAAAGAACAAGUAACGGAAAGGGACACCCAAAAAUCCCGACGUCGACAGGUGGCGACUCUGCUGGGGACUCCAGUAAGAGGACUUAAGCCGCUACUACAAUCUUUUCAAAACUGUUAUAUGCUUGUGUGUGGAUGUUGCAUUUACAUUGGAUGAAUGUGUACGAAUGCAUGUCUUGUUUGAGCUUAGUGCUUCGCAUCAUAUCUGCGUGUGAUGUUAGUGCUUCGCACUAUAAACUGCUUAUGAUAUUAGUGCUUCGCACAUGUCAUCAUUUCAUACGGUGAGACGCGAUGUAUGUGAAUGUAUGUUGUGUGGUCCCUCCACCAGGAGGCUAUCCCGUCGGUGUUUGAUUACUGGACUCGUGAGAAGACUAAUUCUCCGAGGCUCAGGAAAGGCACCACCCAAAUUCGCUCCAGUUGAAAGACCGGAUUAACUUCCCGUCUAGUAGAUUGCGAUGAUUUGGGAACCUUCAUGCCAAAAAGCCGCGAGAGUAACCUAAGAUAGGUCAGCCUCUGAUAAACCCAAAACGAAGGAAAGUCUCUUCAUGCUCUCAUUUCAAUUACUUGUAAACACAAUUACUUGUAAUUUCAUUCCAUAUCUAUCUCCAUGUAAUGAGAAAUAUGAAGCAAUAUGUCCACAUACAUGCUACAAACAGCUGACACCCGUUUUGCAGGAUAAAAUUCCUAAAAUGGACACAUCACAUAGCAUGUCAUUAUACACCUUCCCUAAGGACUAAACUAUGCCAGUCUUUCGCAGGGAAUCAAUCGGACCUACUACCCGGUCAAAGUCCAAAAAGGCAACAGGCCUACAGUCAAUCAUGUCGUCAUCCGACCAGACUGAACUUAAUCCAGUUUCUCGCAAAGAAUUCGACGGGUUAAGCAAACAGAUUACAGAUUUGGCUGUUCUAUUAAAAGAAUUACACCAGUCUACACAGGGUCAGAAAAUACCCGUACAUACUGAGCCCUCCACACAAGGAGGAAUUCCGGUCAUUACCAUACCAGAGCCACAGUUGGAUACGACCAACAAAACGCAUGAUGCUGCCCAUUCCACUGGAGAUCCAGACAAUGGUGACAUCAAAAAGAAAGUCCUCCAAAUGGAAGAGACCCUUCGCGCUAUCAAAGGAAUUGGAACACACGGGAGUGUUUCAUAUGCUGAUCUAUGUAUUUUUCCUGGUGUUCACUAUCCAGAAAAAUUUAAAACUCCUGACUUUGAAAAAUAUGACGGGUUAGGGGAUCCUUAUACACAUUUAAAAGUCUUUAUUGGAGAACUGGGAUCCUAUGCAGAGGAUGAAAAACUCAGAAUGCAAUUGUUCCAAAAGAGUCUAACUGGAGAAGCCCGUUCGUGGUACACAAGAUUAGACAACUCCAAAAUCCACAGCUGGGAAGAGCUAGCACAUGCCUUCCUCACUCAAUACAGUUUUCAAACUCAAAUGGCUCCUGAUCGGUAUCAGAUUACCAAGAUCAAGAAACAGUCUAACGAGUCUUUCAGAGAGUAUGCUCAAAGGUGGAGACGCCUGGCUGCCCAAGUUAGUCCUGCCAUGUCAGAAUCAGAAAUGGUCAUGACAUUCAUAGACAUACAAGAAGCUCCCUUCUAUGAGAGAGUUUUAGCCGGCAUCGGCAAAUCGUUUUCUGAAAUGGUUAAACAUGGGGAGAUGGCUGAAAUGGGGUUGAAGUCAGGAAAGAUUCAAGACUUAGCCACACUCAAAGCUGUUGCUGAUCACAUCCAAUCUGGAAAUUAUGGGAACAACCCCCGAAGGGUCCAUAAAAAGAAAGAGGAAGAUGUUUCCCUGAUACUACAGGGACAAAAAGGCAAUCAAAGUAUGCCCAUUCAAAGGAAAAAUUACACUCCCUUUCCAGCACAGUCUGCAAACCCUCCAAUACCAAUAGGUGGAGAAGUUAAACGCUAUCGAGUGUUUACACCCAUAGGGGAUACCCUCGAGAACAUUCUUAAUCUUCUGACAACACAGGAGAAAACUACGCAUCUUCUUCCACCAGCCAGCCCUAAUGGACGGGGUUUCAAUGCUGCUAGGAAAUGUGUUUAUCAUGCCGGGGCACCUGGACAUGAUACUCAGGAUUGUUGGGCCUUGAAACAUAAGAUCCAGGACCUAAUAGAGAAUGGAGAGAUCGUAGUCACCAAACCCGAUCAGCCUCACGUACAAGACAACCCUUUUCCUCAACACAAAGAAGAAGAGGUCAACAUGAUUAAUUGGAGCAGUGGACAGAGUUCCAACUUCAGCUGUGAUUCCCCCCAGACCAUUAAACACGGUGAUGACAGAUGGGAUUAUGCUAAGUUCCAGUUCACAAUGGAAUGAAAGAUGAAAGCUCUUUGCAAACAAAUUGAGCAAUUGGCGGAACUGGUGACUUAUCAGCAUCAAGUGACUCGGCAAUUAAUCAGCCAGGGGCAUGACAGCUCCUACCAAUCGUCAUGAAUAUUCCCUCGUCACUUUCAGAAAAUGAAAUGCUGGAAGACAAAGUGACGAAGAGAGCAAAUGCCAAAGACCGUCGGGAUUUCGCCAACAAACGGGAAUUCACCUAUUUGGGCCAACCCAUGGAGGAAAUCCUUUACAUAUUAAUCAAUGAAGGAAGGAUCAGUUCCCUUCUACCUCCAAUUAACCCCCGUUUGGGAUAGUACAACUCUGAUGGAGUAUGUCAAUACCACUCCCAGUCUCGCAAUCACAGCACAUAAGAAUGCUGGGCACUCCGCCACCUUAUUCAAAAUCUAAUCGACAGUGGUGUACUGCGCUUGGCAGAUACCGACACUGUGUUACGUGCAAGUGAGAAUGCAGGCCCUACUAAGUGGAAAAGUGUGGUAGCAGUUAUAUCUACUGAAGUUGAAGGGAUUAAUACUUUUCUCACAACACCGAUAAUUAAGCUCAAAGGAGGAAGCAAUCCUUUGAAAGUGUUCGCUCCCGAGCCAAUCAACUUGCCAUGCAGAGCACAAUAUCCUAUUGUUAGCUUGCGCAAGGUUCCGUGGAAUUAUGGAGAAGGUGAAGGAUCUACCUCACAUACCACUGCUGCAGUGUCGAAGGAAAAUCCACUGUAUCUUCCCCAUCGGGUGAUGAACCCCACCACCAAAUCAAAGGGGAAAAUACCCAUGGAGAAGAUUGAAAAAUUCCUCCGCACUGUGGGUCAUAACGAAGCCUCGGUGGUUUUAAGCUUGAAGGAAGCGCCACCACAAAUAUCAAUUUUGGACUUGGUCCUAACCUCUGAGAACCACCGGAAGGUCUUGUUAAAGGUUCUAGAAGAAGCCUAUCUCCCGACAUCAGUGGAUACGGAAAAGUUUCAACACAUGGUUGAUCACAUUUUCAACAACAAUGUGAUAUCCUUCACUGAUGAUGACAUAUCAUCCGAAGGGACUGGUCAUUGUAAGCCGUUACACAUUGCGGUCUUGUCCUCCGGAUAUAUGGUAGCAGGGGUCUUAAUAGAUGGAGGUUCCUCUCUGAAUAUCUACCCAUAUGCCACCUUGGUGAAGAUGAAUAUCAAUCUCAACCGAAUUCGGAGUAGCCAUACUAUCAUCAAAGCUUUUGAUGGAGCCCGCCGUAACUCGGUUGGAGUAAUUGAGCUGCCAAUCGAAAUUGGCCCUCAUACAUUCUGCGUAUCCUUCCAUGUGCUCAAGAUAGAUUCGGGAUACAACCUGCUCUUGGGACGACCAUGGAUCCACAUGGCAGGGGCAGUCCCCUCCACCCUUCACCAACAAUUGAAGUACAUUAUCAACAAUAGCCUGGUCACGGUCAACGCUGAACCAGAGAUUCCUCAGCACGGGGACAUUCCGUUCAUCAAUGCCAAUGCAGACGUAGAACCAGUUAGUUUUCAUGCUUUGGAAAUAAGUAACACCUAAUACCACGCUAUUGGAGCACCACUGCCCGAACCCCACAUUUCUGCUAAGGUGAUGUCAGCCACUCAAGAAAUGAUGUCGUUGGGUCAUAAGCCAGGACAAGGAUUGGGUAAAGAUGGCCAGGGUAUCCAGUACCCCAUUCGAUUAACCAAGCAAGUUGGAACAGCUGGAAUAGGCUAUUUUGCCAGCUCUAGUCACAGGAAUCCUCAUAAGCAUUAAUAGAUUCCUUCAGCUUCAACCAUGUGGCAUUCAGCUUUGCCUUCAAACUCUGAGUCCGCACAACCUCCAGUAAAGGUGCCAGCUAAUGUCAUGGCCAUGUUAUUUCCUAAGCCAAAAUCGGUGGAGGAAAAGAAAAUCGUUAUUCCAGAUCUCGCAAUCGAAGAAGAGGAGCGGAGAAUCAAGGAAAACGUUGUCCGAAUAAUGUCGGGCAUGCGCAUCAUCGUCCAUGAUGAACAUACCAAUAGAUACACCUCAGAUGAUGAUUGCCCUGAUGUAAUGGCCGUCAUUCAGGACAAAGAGGAUGAUGACAAUCCCUCCAUCACUGCAAUCCACCCGAACUUUACCCUUACCAAUUGGAACAGCAUUCCUUGCUUUGGUCGACAAGGGUAAAGCGGGCAGAAAUUCUUUUCUGCCCUGUAGAUACAAUAACUGCUUACUUUUUUGUACAGUAUUAGCAGUUUAUUUUUCCAGUAUAUGCUAACACUGUGUAUGAUCAACGCAUUUCAUAUAUACUAAGUGAAAGCAUAUUUUGUUUCAGGACUCUGAAUUUAGAUGUGCCUGUAUUUGCGGAUACGAUGCCUCUCCUACACAAGGAUUGUACCUUUGAUGUAGAGAUGAAUUCAGCCUUGAUGGAUCUCCAGGAUGACAUUGAGGUGCCUCCAGAAAUUCAAGAAUGGGUCAAAGACAAACCCAAACCUAACCUUGAUCAAACCACUUCUUUCAAUCUCGGAACCUUAGAAAGCCCUAAGUUAAUCCAGAUUGGUUCAGACCUUACCCCAAACCAACAGAAUGACAUGGUUACGCUAUUAACACAAUUCUAGGAUGUGUUUUCAUGGUCUCAUGAAGACAUCGUAGGUUUGUCCACUGACAUUGUCCUUUAUCGGCUUCCCAUUAAAGAAGGAUUUAAGCCAGUCAAGCAAAAGCUCAGGCGAUUGAAACCUGAGUGGAGUUUAAAGGUGAAAGAAGAAAUGGUGAAACAAUUUCAAGCCGGCAUCAUCAUGGUGUCUACAUAUCCUGAGUGGAUAUCCAACAUUGUACCCAUGCCUAAACCUGGAGGGAAGGUGCGAAUUUGUGUGGAUUACCGGGACUUGAACAAAGCUUGCUUAAAAGAUAGCUUUCCCAUGCCAUUUAUCCACAUUCUCAUUGACAAUACUGCGCAAUACGAUAUGUACUCCUUUGCUGAUUGCUUUGCGGGGUACCAUCAGAUCAUGGUUGCCGAGGAAGAUCGUGAGAAGACUGCUUUCAUCACUCCUUGGGGAACUUUUUGCUAUAGACGAUUGUCAUUCGGCCUCAUCAAUGCCGGAGCUACCUAUCAACGAGCUAUGAUGGCUCUUUUCCAUGACUUAAUGCAUAAAGAGAUUGAGAUCUACGUGGAUGACAUCAUUGUCAAGUCCCGGAAGGAGGAUGACCAUCUAGACCAUCUCAGAAAGUUGUUCAACAGGUUGCGUAAGUACAACUUGAAGUUGAAUCCAGCUAAGUGCGCCUUUGGCGUUAAAUCAGGCAAGUUGCUAGGAUUUCUAGUCAGCCACAAAGGGAUUGAGCUGGAUCCUACCAAAAUCCAAGCCAUCACAGAAAUGCCCAUUCCUCAGACAGAGAAGGAAAUACGGGGAUUUUUGGGAAGGAUCAACUUCAUCAGCAGGUUUAUCUCCCAACUCACAGCAACCUGUGAGCCAAUCUUCAAGUUAUUAAGGAAGAACUCCUCCAUGAAAUGGAAUGAUGAGUGCCAGAAUGCCUUCCUUACAAUCAAGAAACAGCUAGUCAAAGCUCCUAUCUUGGUACCACCCAGGGAUGAUGUUCCCCUGUUCAUGUACCUGUCCAUAAGUGACAAUGCCAUGGGCUGCAUGCUGGGACAGAAAGACGAUAGAGGCCAAGAACGAGCUAUCUAUUACCUCAGCAAAAGGUUCAGCAGCAGUGAACACAAGUACACUCUGAUCGAAAAGACGUGUUGUGCUUUAGCAUGGGCUUCCAUGAGGUUACAACAUUACCUCCAUGGUCACACAACCCAUCUCAUAUCCCGCGUGGAUCCUCUCAAGUACGUGUUCAACAAACCCAUGUUAAAUUGCCGGCUGUCCAGAUGGCAGUUGAUCCUACAACAAUUUGACAUCGUAUAUGUGACUCAAAAGUCCAUCAAAGGUCAAGGAAUCGCAGAUCAACUGGCCGCCGCACCUUCAGGGGAUUUCAAACCCUUGGAAACAUAUUUCCCCGAUGAAGGAGUAAUGACAGUGCAGCAACACCAUCUGUACAAUACACGCCAAUCAUGGAAGAUGUAUUUUGAUGGAGCUGUUAACAUGGAAGGUUCUGGAGCUGGAGCAAUUCUAGUAUCUGAUACGGGGGAGCAGUAUCCCGUUGCCGUCAAAUUACAGUUUGUCAGCACCAACAAUACGGCUGAGUAUGAAGGCUGUCUCAUGGGGCUAAAACUUGCCCGUUCAAUGGGCAUCAAGCGGUUAACUGUCCUUGGAGAUUCGGAGUUGGUAAUCAGACAAUCCACCGGAGUCUAUCAAACCAAGGAACUACAUUUGCUGCCUUACCAUCGGCAGGUUUUGAAGAUGGCUUUGGAGUUCGAAGAAAUCUCCUUUCUACACAUUCCUCGUAAUAGGAAUGAUUUCGCGGACGCAUUAGCAAUUUUGGCCUCCUUGAUUCGCAUAUCAAAUAAGGAACACUUGUCAAGCGUCAUAAUUGCCCUGACCAAGGCCCCAGCCUAUGGGAAUUACGUUGGAAAAGUAUCGGAUGAGCUACCUCCCAUCCAACCUCCUUGGUAUCAGCAUAUCAAGGAAUAUCUGCGAGAUGGAUCUACACCCGCUGAGGCGAGCCUGACUGAGAAAAGGCGGAUUCAUCGACUUGCUUGAAGUUCUACCUGAGUGGAGAUGCGCUCUACAAAAGAGAUGCAGGACUGGGUCUCCUCAGGUGUUUAGACAAAGAUCAAGCCCAGAGGCUUAUGGAUGAAAUCCAUGGUGGAGUCUGUGGCCCCCAUAUGAGUGGCCCCCUCCUUGUCAAGAAAGUCCUCAGGACGGGACAUUACUGGCUGUCUCUCAAAGCUUAUUGCAAUAACCACAUCAGAAGAUGCUAUCAGUGCCAGAUUCAUGGGAAUGCUAUACACGCCCCUUCACGGGAGCUCCACAAUAUGAGUUCACCUUGGCCCUUCUCAAUGUAGGGAAUGGACGUUAUUGGGCCCAUUGAGCCUAAAGCGAGUAAUGGUCACCGAUUUAUCUUCACCAUGAUCGACUACUUCACCAAGUGGGUAGAAGCAGCCUCCUUCCCCAGGGUCACUAAAGAAGUCAUCAUUGCUUUCAUCAGAAACAAUGUCGUUUGUCGAUAUAGACAACCAGAGGUGAUUGUGUUAGACAAUGCCAAAAACCUCAACAACAAAAUGAUGGAGGAGUUAUGCAGUAAAUUCCACAUCAAACAUCUUAACUCUGUCAUCUAUCGUCCGAAGAUGAACGGUGCUGUUGAAGCGGCUAACAAAAAUAUCAAGAAGAUUAUGCAAAAGAUGUCAGUCAACCACAAAGAUUGGCCUAACCUAUUGCCUCUGACUCUGUUAGCUUACAGGACCACAAUGCGUACUUCAACUGGGGCAACCCCCUACGUUUUAACCUAUGGGAUGGAAGCAGUGCUCCCCAUAGAAGUUGAGAUGGAAUCUCUCAAAGUGUUGAUCGACGCUCAGCUGGAUGAAAACUAAUGGGUACAAGACAGGUAUCACCAAUUGUCUCUAAUAGACGAAAGGUGAACCGUGGUUAUCUUCCAUGGUCAGCUAUAUCAGCAAAGGAUCGCCAGAUCCUACAACAAAAAAGUCCGGUUACUGCAAUUUAAAUAACAUGACUUGGUUCUGAAGAAGAUUCUUAACAAUCAAGAUCAGGCCAAAGGAAAAUUUGCUCCUAACUGGGAAGGCCUGUUUAUUGUCAAAGAAGUAUUGACAGGAGGCGCUCUCAGAUUACAAGAAAUGGACGGCGAUGAAUUUCCACAACUCAUCAACUCAGACACCGUGAAACGGUAUUAUGUCUGAAGUAACCAGCAAACACCCUGGUGCAUUAUCAUCAGGUCACCAGUCAUUCCGGUUCUUUAACCCUUUACCACAUACAACUUUUCUACACUUUUCCCCUCAGGGAAACAUACUCUAGCCAGCAGCCUAGCUUUCUCCUUUGCGCUCAUACAACUUAGGUCAUCCCAUCGCGGAUUUAACCUCUUGCGUUCGCAGUUUGGCUACCCAUACAUGGGAUCAAACUUCUCCUGCCUGCAGUUUAUCCUCAACCUAGGAUUAAACUUUCCCAUCCCCGUACUCUGACCUGCACAUGGGAUUACACUUUUCUUCUCGCCCUGAGGGGCGAACUAUGUCGACCUGAUCUCCUCUUCAAUAGGAGUACGUAGGCAACCAUUUCAUAUGGCCCGGUCGCAAUAAAACAAAACCAACAAAAACAUUUAUACCCUCUUCUCCUUACAAAAACAAAAACAACCAAAAACAUGCCUACACCAUAUCAGCCAUAUACAGCGUUGAACCUCUUACACCAGGUUCGAACUACGCAGACUUGAUCUCCUCUUCAAUAGGAGUACGUAGGCAACCAUUCAUGUUGCGGUCUCACCCCCUACCAAAACACAAACCAUUCUCAACGGGUGUUGGGAUUCCCUUUCAAUCCAUUAUAUGUCAUUCGGCUUCAGACCAAAGGGAUGGAAUUACCUGAACUCCUCCCAAAUAGGAGAUUCGGCGACCAUCUAAGAUGCAGUCAUACCUCAAAGAGCAAUACUAAACCAUAAGAGGGGGAAUUAACUAGGCUUCUCCUAAAUAGAAGUACUGGCGACCAUCUGUGGUGUGGUCAAUCUCAGAGAGGAAAGCCACACUCCUCUCCACAUUUCCAUUCAGAAACAAGUCCCAAGACACCAAAGAUGGUAGGGAUAUACAUAGAUCGAUGAUCCAUUCUGAACUAUCCAGAGACAGCUCAAUGUCCAUCCACCAAGGAAGAAUUCAUAAUUCAUCAAGAUCACAAACCCUGAAGCAGCAGGCAAAAUAUCAAGCAAAUAGCAAGGCAUAUCUAAAAGGGAAGUGAUCCAAAAAUAUAUUUCCCUAUCAUAUAUAAUGUUGUUUGAUAUAUAUACAAUGUGAACUGUACAUGACAAAAUGGCUAAACUAGUCUGUGCAGGUAAAUACAAGCUCAUCUACGAAUCAGGGUACAUGCGAGCUAGCAAGACCAACAUGGCAUCCCUCUCAGAUGAAGGAGGUAAAGCUGUAGUCUCCUGGAUAAGAAUAUCCACACGACCUAACAGAUCUGUAGCCAUCUGCAUGAUGACCAUAUGCUCAUCGAUAUAAGCGCUCAUCUCUGCGAUCAUACCAGUGGUAAGGGACAUCGCUGCAAUACUAUCUAUGACAGCCACAUCCCGGGCAGAUAUAGCACUAUCCCGCUCAACUAUCACUGCGUCUCUGUCUGACCUGGCCUCAUCCCGCUCAACAACAGCGGUAUCUCUACGAGCUAAUGCCUCGUCUCUCUCUAAUAGGGCGGCGUCCCUCACAUCAAGAGCAGUCGACAUCAUAGAUUGAAUCUGGUCUCUCUCAAAGGUCAUCAGAUGAAGACUCUGCUCUAAAUACCGUGCCGAGUGCUGGAUCACAAAAGUACUGGUACUAGGAGAAUCCGGAGGAAAUGCUGGCAACCCAACAGUGAUAUCCUCCUCGAUGUAGGUAUCAAUGUCCUCUAUAGGCUCUACAUCGCCUAACUCAAUCUCCGGUACUGCAAAUACUGCUGCAGCCGAUAAAACCUCCAUCUCCAUCCAUGCGGAGUACUCUACGGAAUAACCGGGACGAUUGACAGGAAAAGUAGCUAGCUCACGCUGAUCCCAGCAAGCGUAUACACGAGAUCGGUCCUCGGCUGAGAGGUAUCGAGAAGCUGAGCGCUGACCUACCGCCCCCUCGAAAGGAUGAAAAUCCUGGAACUAGUCAAACUGCGACAUCACGGCCAAUGGAUGAUAAGUCGUCACGCCCCUCAAGCCAGCCAAAGGGAGGAAAUCCAUGCCCGGAGCAUGAGUAAUGAAGCUGUAUGGUGAGCAAAGCCCCGAGCACAGCAAUAUGCUAAAUGGAUCUCGGAUAUCUGCCAAAAAUGCGGACCAGGACUGAGCAUCUACACACUCCGAUGGCUGAAAGGAAUACGACAUAGCCACCUCAUGGGAGAAACAAUACCCAUGCCAUCUAAAGGUACCAACUGAUCGCAAGUGUGACAUAAACCACACAUACAGCAUGACCGAACUCCCAGUAAACACACCUGAUGGGUAAGUACGGCAGUAGGAUGCUAAUCGCAAGGUCUCUUCCACGAUCAUAGGUACAAUGGUAAGACCCUCCCUGAGAGCUCUCACCGCCAUGAUGACGCCUAUAUCUAUCUCAUCCAUGUACCGCGGCAUGUACACGUAUGACAGUACACAUAGUAUCAGUACAUCAACUCUGGCCAAACACCAAUGAUCCUCUGACACGGUGAAAUCCCCUGAAUGUCGUGAGUAGCUAUCCUCCGCACCAAAUCUAUCAUACAGAAAACGCUGAGAGAUCACAUGGCCAGAUGUCAGCUCAUCAUGUACCACUCUGCGCCUCAAUCCUGUGAGAGUCAUGAAUCUCCUACUCAUGUCUCCCAAAACCAUGUGCAUGCAAGGUCUGUCUAAGGGCAGCAUCGUUAAACGUGCAUACUCCUCCAGAGUAGGAGUCAACUCAUGGGUACCAAAAUGGAAUACCUGUCUAUCAGCUAGCCAAUGCUCUAGCAUCCCAUCUACAAAUCCUGCAGGAACCUGAAAUGCCAAAAGGGUCAUGGUAUGCUGCAAUAAUAGAUCUACAGUCACCCUAUCUAGUGGUGACAUGCUAUCGUACCACGAGCGCAUACCCAAUGCCACCACUGACGGUGGGGUAUGAUCUAUAUGGCUAACUGUCGAAGAAGACAUAUGUGUGGGUCGUGUCAUAAGACCAUCCAGGGGUCAAUACCGAGUAUCUCUGGACAUACAUACAUAUGCAUAACAUGAUAUAUGCAUAACAGAUAAUGGAUGGCAAUAUGAUAUAGGGAAUGAAAAAAUGGUGCAUACAUUCCUAAAUAUAUCAUCAUCUAAUACAUCAGCUCUAUACAGCUACAAAUACAUGAAAAUGGGGCACAAACACCCUACUACUAACAGAGGCCUAUCUAAAGAUAUAGCGAGAAUGGGGAACAGCCACCCAAUAUCUAACAGAGGCCUAUCAAAAGUUAUACUGAGAAUACACAUCAGAAGAAGACAAUGGUCUCGAUGUCCACAUCCUCAAUCCUGGUCUUCUCAGAUGAGACUUUGAAUCUAUACAUCACUCAUUGGUAGUCGCCUGAACACAAGGUAUACUCUGCCGAUGACCUCAGUUGUCAUAAAUCACAUACAGCAAUACCUUAUAUAGGUCCGAUGCCGCCGACUCCAGGUCGUUACCGUACGUGAGUCCCCGACGAGGGUUACAACAUGAGUCCCCGAUGGGGGUUACAACGUGAGUCCCCGACGGGGGUUACAAUGUGAGUCCCCGACGAGGUUAACAACGUGAGUCCCCGACGGGGGUUACAAUGUAGAUCUGUGGCGACCCCAAAUCCGGAUACUUGAAACCCGAACUCGGUUCUCCACGAUACCAUUUCUUUAAGCUGAAUAAUACUAAAUAAUAAUACAUUCGAACUUAAUUUACAUACAUCAAAGUUUACUUCCCCAGGUACGUGACCUUCAAAUACAUUCCUUACAAUACUUGAAUAGAUACCAAUACAACUAUAACCAUUAACUCAUAAUACACACUUAUUCGAUCAGCUUUCCUUUUCCUUUGUUCGUGCCUGAGCCUUCAGGUUGCUCAUACAUAACUGAAAACAUUUAAUUUAAGCAAGGAUGAGCAUUUGAGUGCCCAGCAAGUAAUAGCAAUUAUAUAUAUAAGCUGAAAGAAUAUAAGUAUUCUCUUUACAUAACACUUCUACAACGAAUCAAAAGUUGUGAAGUAAUCUGUACUGAUAAAAGAUUCACAUAACAACUCUCUUUCAAUUUCUUGAAAUUAGGCUCCACCCAUGAAUAGGGUUUAAGAAACAUACUAUGAACAUUGUUUUUCAUUUUCGAAAAGGUUUAGCAGAAAUUCAUCCGCAAACCGUCAUAACUUACGGGCACGGAGGGUGAUCAGCCCCGUUGUACCCUGUAUUGAUCAAUACUACAUAACUUGAACGAAAUUCAUCGCUCACCCUUUGUCCGCCGAAGCGCAUAAAAAUUUUCCCAUUAUCGGGAUGUUCAUACAUGCCUGGUUCCAAACCCGAAGGUUUUUAAUCUUGCUCAACAAUAAUAUGUAAUUCAACAUAUAUGUAUACGGGUAAUUGACAAAGGUAUAUCAACAUGUGAAUAAAUGCCAUGAUUAUCCAAGUGGGGACACUUGUAUAACCAUUUAGAAAUCAACUUAACAGAAUAUAUAUCUGAGCUAACAUGUUGAUAAUCAAAGCGUACAUAAUCUGUACAGGAAUAGAAUAAUUCUGAAACUUCUUACUCAUGUCCAUUGCAUAAAGGAAAUGCAAAGGUAAGAUACUUGCCUGAUUCGCUGAUUACAAAUCUCAACUUAGGUUUUAUCUCUUUAUCACAACCUAUCAAUAAUCAGAUCAUUCGUUCGAUUAGAACAAUAUAUCAUAACACAUAGUACUGUCUAUUACAGUCAGCACAUAGUCUAAUCACGUCAUCACAUAAUCGCAGUGAUCAUACUUUUAGUUCAUAUUCUAUACUUGAAAUAUUUUUAUACAUUUUUCAAAUAUCUCAUCCAUGCUCUUACAGAAGUCUUUUCUUUCUAUUAUAGGGUCUGACAUUUGUCGGCGUACCGACAGCUUUAUCGGGUAAAUACUGAGUCUAAGACUCUUAUCCUAUACCUCAACAUCUGUAAAUAUCAAACAUUUUAUUUUUAAUCAUUUUCGAAUUUUCCAGAAAUUGAAAAAUUUAAAAUAAUUCAAAUCUGUCACUACCGGGCCUAUAGUGAUAUAACUGUUACUAUAGGUGUUCCUCAAAACUUCAUAACUUCAUAAUCGGUUCUCAAGUCAGCUAGUUUGGCCGGCUAUAACUUUCAAACAUCGGAAUCAUAAUUAAAUGAUUUAAACAUUAAACAAUUCCAUUAUCAUUAAUAAUUAAUUUAUAUUAAACUAUUAAUGAAACCAUUGCCAAAAUAUAAAAGUUAUUUAUAAUAACUCAAACUAUUUUUAAAACAUUUAUAUUACCCUUAAAUGAUUUUUAAAACAAUUAAAAUCAUUUUUAAAUAAUCACCAUUAAUAUAUAAAUAUUAAUGUACUAUUCAUCCAAAUAUUAAAAGUCAUUAAUUAUAACUUAAAAUAUUUUUAAAUCCUUAAUAUCCUCUUUAAAUGAUUUUUAAAUAAAUAAAACCAUUUUUAAACUAUUUAUUUAAUAAUAAUUAUUAAAUAAACUAAAUAUCAUUAAUAUUAUCUUAAUAUCAUUAAUAUUAAAUUAUUAAUGAAAUUAUCCUUUAAAUAUUAAAAGUUAUAUUUUAUAACUUAAAAUAUUUUUAAAUACCUUAAUUUCAUUUAAAAUGAUUUUUAUAAUAUUAAAAUCAUUUUUAAACUAAAUUAUUUAAUAUAAUCAUUAAAUAACUUUAAUAUCAUUAAUAUAUAAUUAAUUAAUGAAAUUCAUCACAAAAUAUUAAAAGUCAUGGGAAAUAACUUAAAAUAUUUUCUUAUACCAUAAUAUAAUUUUUCAUGAUUUUUCAUGAAUUAAAACUAUUUUUAAAUCAUUUAUUUAAUAUUAUAAUUAAAUAAAUAAAUACCUUUUAUAUUCCAAAAAUAUUAAAUAUUUAUGAAAUAUACUCAAAAUAAUUAAAAACUAUUUUUCAGACUUUAAAAUAAUUUUUCAUAAUUUAUUUGGUAUUUUUAAUAAUUAAAAUCUAAUUUUUCUAAUUUUUAAAUCAUUUUUCGGAAAAUCAGAAAUUAAAAUAAUUAAAACUGUCGCUAAAGGCCCCUAUAGUGACAGAAGUGUCGCUAUAGGUGUUCUUGAGCCUACCCAGAUCUUCAUAAGGCAGAACCGAGUGGCCUACUUUGACCGUGAAUAACUCUCUCAUCUUAACGAAUUUGGACAAUCUAUAAAUUGGGUCUUGUAGAGGAAAUACAAGACUACAAGAUCCAACAAUCAUAACCUCUAAACAAACAUCAGAUCUGGGAUAAAUCAGCCAUCAAAGUAGCUACCAAAGCUGUUCUUCACGAAGAACAGUUCGAGGUGCCUACUUUGGACCUCUAUAACUUGAUGAUCGUGUAACGUUUAUGUGAUCUAUCAAUUCCAGUGUGUAGACAACAUGUAGGACUACAACUCUAACACUUAACAUCAUCAUAAAAACAAGAAAUCAAGCAUCUAAAGUAUGGUCAAACCUUGUCAGAAAAAUUAACACUUAGAAAAUUCUGGGCUGCCCAGAAUUUUCUGGUCAAUGCCGGUCAACCCACUUUGACCUUAAAUAACUCUUAAUCCGUAAUAUAUAUGGACCUGAUUCUUUUUGGAGGUUAAAUACCACAUAACAAGAUACACAUAUCAACCUUUAGAACACAAAACACAUUAAAGAUAACCGAGAUAUAAGGCCUGACAUUUUCCAAAAUAAUAUUUUCUGGACACUUAGAAUAUUUUCUGGGUUUGAAGAACAGCCGGUCAAUGCCGGUCAACCCACUUUGACCGCUUAUAAAUCCCGAUCUACAAUAGCUAUGAACUUUAUUCCUUUUGGAGAUUAAAGACCACAUAUCAGGCUACCUAUAACAACUUUUAAACAACAAAACUCGUGAUCGACCAAAGAGUUAUAGCCUCUGACAUUUGGUGAAAAAUAACAGAAUUCGGUUUUUCCAACUUGUUUAAAUCUUCAAAUUCGUGCACUUUGAUGUUAUGGGUUCAUGAUUUUACAACCCAGAACAUUAAUAGACUCUCUAUUACACUACUUUAAACAAUCAAUUGCAUCAAUUAACAUCGAAUCGAAGGAUUUCUAGAAUUUAGGAUUUCCUACCUUUUCAAGCUUGAUUUUUGAUUUCUGGCUUCUUGAUGCUUCUGAUUUGUUGUUUGUGAUGGUUGGGCUUUGUUUAGGGACUGAUAUGCUAGAUAAUUUCGUUGGCUAGAGGUUGAGAGAGUUUGUCUAGAGAGUUUGUGAAAUUUUAGUGUGCAAAAUAAUGUUAACUUUCCAAUCUAUUUAUAAGCCAAAUUAAUUGCCUUGGAUGCUAAAUUGGUUGGUAUAAUUGAGGUGUAAUGGUAUAGUAGCAUGAGGGAAUUCUAGAAGGUGGUGGUUGGCUAGCUUUUGCAAAGAUUCUAGCAACAAUGCUACUAAUAAUACACUAAUAAACCAAAAGGGCAUUUUGGUUAUUUCGCAUAUAAUUUCAUGGGCAUUCUUGUACAUGGCAAUUAAAUCUAAUAUUUAAUCACUAGAUGGUAAUUCUUAUCAUUUACCAAUUACUUUUCAUCCUUUGGUAAAUUAAAACAUUUAUACAUUAACAUCGUAAUUAAACCCN
rnacentral:lncRNA from 1 species